GACUACGGCCAUACCACCCUGAAAGCGCCCGAUCUCGUCUGAUCUCGGAAGCUAAGCAGGGACGGGCUUGGUUAGUACCUGGAUGGGAGACCGCCUGGGAAUACCCGGUGUUGUCGGCU
rnacentral:rRNA from 1 species